rnacentral:rRNA from 1 species
CCCGCCGGCGACCGGCGCACGGGUGAGUAACACGUAUGCAACCUGGCCGCCACAGGGGGAUAACCCGCGGAAACGCGGCCUAAUACCCCGUGACGCCACCGGAGGGCAUCCUCCGGGUGGCCAAAGGAGCGAUCCGGUGGCGGAUGGGCAUGCGGCGCAUUAGCUAGACGGCGGGGUGACGGCCCACCGUGGCGACGAUGCGUAGGGGUUCUGAGAGGAAGGCCCCCCACACUGGGACUGAGACACGGCCCAGACUCCUACGGGAGGCAGCAG